rnacentral:rRNA from 1 species
AUACAGAGGGUGCGAGCGUUAAUCGGAAUUACUGGGCGUAAAGCGCGCGUAGGCGGCUUGGUCAGUCGGAUGUGAAAGCCCCGGGCUCAACCUGGGAAUGGCAUUCGAUACUGCCAGGCUAGAGUAUGGGAGAAGGAAGUGGAAUUUCCGGUGUAGCGGUGAAAUGCGUAGAUAUCGGAAGGAACACCAGUGGCGAAGGCGACUUCCUGGCCCAAUACUGACGCUGAGGUGCGAAAGCGUGGGGAGCGAACAGGAUUAGAAACCCUAGUAGUCC